ACCCUUUAUUUUUCUUACUUCAUUGAGGAUAAUGUCAAUUAAGUUGGGGAGAGAAUAAUAGAAUAACUAAAAAAAAAUUUAAGUCUUCGAGUAAAUUAGUAUUUAGCAUUUAAGCACCUGAUUAUGCUUAAGAAUCGAGUUAAACCAAGUAUUUUUAUAAAAAAAUUGAUGUACAAACUAAAGAAUUUAUGAGAUAUUGAGGGAUUAAGUAUUAAGAAAAUUCAAUAAAAAAUUAAGUUUAAAAUUUAAAUAAUUUUUUUUGAAUAGUUUUAAAUUUUUCUACCAG
rnacentral:lncRNA from 1 species